GACGAACCGUCCAAACGUUAUUCGGAAUCACUGGGCUUACAGAGUUCGUAGGCGGUCUGGAAAGUUGGGUGUGAAAUCCCUCGGCCUAACCGAGGAACUGCGCUUGAAACUACCAGACUCGAGGGGGAUAGAGGAAAGCGGAACUGAUGUGGAGCGGUGAAAUGCGUUGAUAUCAUCAGGAACACCGGUGGCGAAGGCGGCUU
rnacentral:rRNA from 1 species